CAGCGCCAUGAGUGGUAACCGCGAUUAUUGGGCCUAAAGCGUCCGUAGCCUGUUCUGCAAAUCUUUUGUGAAAUUGUCCGGCUCAACCGUACAACGUGCAAGGGACACUACAGAACUCGAGACCGGGAGGAGUCAGAAGUAUUCCAGGGGGAGCGGUAAAAUGUUAUAAUCCCUGGAGGACUACCUGUGGCGAAGGCGUCUGACCAGAACGGAUCUGACGGUGAGGGACGAAAGCUAGGGGAGCGAACCGGAUUAGAUACCCGAGUAGUCC
rnacentral:rRNA from 1 species